AUUGAACGCUGGCGGCAGGCUUAACACAUGCAAGUCGAGCGGGGUGAUGGUGCUUGCACUAUCACUUAGCGGCGGACGGGUGAGUAAUGCUUAGGAAUCUGCCUAUUAGUGGGGGACAACAUCUCGAAAGGGAUGCUAAUACCGCAUACGUCCUACGGGAGAAAGCAGGGGAUCACUUGUGACCUUGCGCUAAUAGAUGAGCCUAAGUCGGAUUAGCUAGUUGGUGUGGUAAAGGCCUACCAAGGCGACGAUCUGUAGCGGGUCUGAGAGGAUGAUCCGCCACACUGGGAAUGAGACACGGCCCAGACUCCUACGGGAGGCAGCAGUGGGGAAUAUUGGACAAUGGGGGGAACCCUGAUCCAGCCAUGCCGCGUGUGUGAAGAAGGCCUUAUGGUUGUAAAGCACUUUAAGCGAGGAGGAGGCUCUUUUGGUUAAUACCCAAGAUGAGUGGACGUUACUCGCAGAAUAAGCACCGGCUAACUCUGUGCCAGCCGCCGCGGUAA
rnacentral:rRNA from 1 species